AGAGGCGGGGGCGCCGCUUCGGGAGAGCGGGCAGUUCUAGGAGGCCGACCUGGAGAGCCUCCCGGUUCCCCUUCCCCUUUUCCCGGACCCCGCGGGGACACCCCCUCGCCGCCACCCGGGCCUCCCCGAGGGCCCAACUGCGGGUCAGGCGGCCCGGGCCAGCCGAAAGGGAAGUGGGGCUACCCCACAGCCAGGCAGCGGGGCUGGGGUCAGACCCGGGAGCCGGAGGUUGGAGACGUGCGACAGUCACCUGCGGGCAGAUUCCAGAGGGGAGACCCAGGGCUGCAGGGGACGCCCCUUCGUGGCAGCUACCCAGCCUCGGCCCACUGCCAGUGUUACGUGGCUGCAUGACCAUACACUUCUGGGUAGAGCCCAGUGGAAGACAAAGAAGACUCAAGGAAUAGCCCUUGAGGGCUCAGGAGCUAUACAGAUGGGAUAGAGGGUGUGAGUGCUGGGAAGCCCCAUCCAUGGCUCGCUGGAGAUUAGAGGCCUGUUAAUCUGAAGACAAAGGAAUGAAGACGAAAACGUUUCUGAAAAUGUGGGUGGAGACACCUGGGCCUUUACAGGAUCCUGAACCAACUUUGAAGGCAGAGAAGUGGGCUAGAAGAAGUGGGGUUGGAGCCUCCACCAAGGACAAGAAGGCCUUAGCCCCCUGCUUCCAGCUCAAGCUGAAGUGGCUGUGAGCUGAGCUAAGAAGACCCCACUUCGCCAGGAGGAGUGCCUCACGCCUGUAAUCCCAGCACUUUGAAAGGCCGAGGCAGGUGGAUCACGUGAGGUCAGGAGUUUAAGACCAGCCUGGCCAACAUGAUGGAGUCUAGCUCUGUCGCCCAGGCUGGAGUACAGUGGCGUGAUCUCGGCUCACUCCAACCUCCGCCUCCCGGGUUCAAGCGAUUCUCCUGCCUCAGCCUCCUGGGUAGCUGGGACUACAGGCAUGUGCCACCCCGCCUGGCUAAUUUUUUUGUAUUUUUAGUAGAGAUGGGGUUUCACCGUGUUAGCCAGGAUGGUCUCGAUCUACUGACCUCAUGAUCCAACCACCUCGGCCUCCCAAAGUACUGGGAUUACAGGUGUAAGCCACUACACCCAGCCCCCAUCUUGCUUCUAGCCUUUAAGCAGUCCUUGUGGAUUCCUGGGUGUAGGCCGAACUAACUUUGGGAAGGAAUUCAGUUCAUGGUUUGACUCUGAAACAAAAUUGACAACAGCCCUUUCCCGAAAAGACCCCCUUCUUGCCUGGGGUCCAGUCGGCCUUUGCAGGACUAACAAAUUAGCUAUAAGAUUAGAAAUAAAAGUUUAGGGUCAUGCAGCCUCUGGCUCCAAGAAUCUGAACCUCCCCAAAUUGCUCCUGGGGAUAACAUCACUAUUGGAAAACCGCAGAUCAGUGCGUGAGAUAUUUUGCAGACUCUGCAUUCAUGGAUCAGCUGACACCACCCAGACCGGUUAUCUGGCUCAACCAGUUCUGCCAUCCCACCCAGGAAUAGAAGAUAGCAAGAAAAAUUCACUUCAACCUUCUACGAUUCCAUCUCCAACCUGACCAAUCAGCACUCCCCACUUCCCAAGCUCCUUUACUAGCCAAAUUCUCUUUAAAAACUCUGAUCCCCGAAUGCUUGGGGAGACUGAUUUGAGUAAUAAUAAAACUCUGGUCUCCCGCACAGUGGGCUCUGCGUGAAUCACUCUUUCUCCAUUGCAAUGCCUCUGUCUUGAUAAAUCAGUUCUGUCUGGGCAGCAGGCAAGGUGAACCCAUUGGGCA
rnacentral:lncRNA from 1 species